AACUUUUGCUGCUUGGUGCGUCUCUGUUAAACUCGGGCCAAAUGACGUCAUAGCAAAGUAAUUAAACUACGAAACGUGUAUCGGAAUGACGUAGUAACAGCUCAGCGUAAUAAUCAGUAAAUAAGAUCUGGUGGAUUGCGUGAGUGUUACGUGUAACGGGCCUACCUUGAGAUAAGACGAGUGGUAGUGGGACACGGGACUAAAGGGAUUGCCCAUUUACGCCUGGGUGCCUUAGGCUCUCCUAUAAAUAAUUAAACCGCGUGAGUGAGCACUAGAGCCUUUUAUCCCAUUGAUUAGACAUAGCUUCCAUUAAAGCGCUUUACUAAUUACGACUUCAUUCAUGUUUACUUUGAGCGGAUAAAUGUGCGGUUUUCCGCAACGCAGUUCGAAAACAUCAUGGAGUGAUAUUUUCGUGAUUUUUUUGGCAAAAUUAAAUGUAGCUUCGAAGUGCAUUUUUCACAACGACUAAAUUGUGCAUACGGAUGUGUACUCGAUGUACGAAUGGACCUGUCUUUUUCACGGUACGUUUACUUUGACGAAGGAAAUUUAGUGCUAUGAACCAAAAUCAGUGCAGCAACAUUUUCCAUUGUACAGUGUCCUGUCAUUCUUUAUAGUUUUAAAAUUCGCGGAAAAUAAGGAGAUGCAAUGUUCCAAAUUUCC
rnacentral:lncRNA from 1 species